rnacentral:rRNA from 1 species
UACGUAGGGGGCUAGCGUUGUCCGGAAUCAUUGGGCGUAAAGAGCGUGUAGGCGGCCCGGCAAGUCCGCUGUAAAAGUCAAAGGCUCAACCUUUGAAUGUCAGUGGAUACUGCCGGGCUAGAGUCCGGAAGAGGCGAGUGGAACUCCUGGUGUAGCGGUGGAAUGCGCAGAUAUCAGGAGGAACACCCGUGGCGAAAGCGGCUCUCUGGGACGGUACUGACGCUGAGACGCGAAAGCGUGGGGAGCAAACAGG